UCAGACUUUUCAGACAUCACACAUGUACCACAAUAGAAUUACUGAAUUAUGAACAGAGAAAUGAUUAUUGUCUCUUGUCAACUACUAGAAAUGUGUCACUGAGCUGAACAAGGAUGGAGACUCCUGGAUUGGUCUAUGGGCCACAGAACGGACACAAACAGGAUGGAAAUGGAAAUGGGUGGACGACUCGCCGCUGACACUAAAGUUCUGGGCAACAGGACGCCCGCACAGCAACUAUUAUUACGCUGCAUGCUGCGAUAAACAAGGAAAUUGGACAACGAGCAGAUAUAAUGAUAAGAAGAACUGGAUCUGUGAGAAAUAGAUUUCCUGUUUAUCUUGAGGACAGAGGGGUGUGUAGUGUUGGGAUCAACUUUGUCAAAUCAGACCAACUCACAUUUUACAUUUCUUCAGUUGUUCAUUCUGUGUUGCAUCCUGAACAACCUGGAUUACAUAGAUAUUGUUCCUCUGCCCUACACAGUGAACAGUCUGGUUGGAAGUCAUCCACACAACUACAUGUGCACUUACCCUCUCUGCAGAGAGGGAUAUUACAACAGCCUGUUUUCAAAAAGCCUAAGAUGUCACAUACAUGACAACAAGGGGAAAGACGGCUCCUUUCUGUUUCAGUGUUAUUUAAGCCAUGAUCAUAAAGGACAAACCUCAUAGGCUUCUUCCACAGACCACUUACUGAUGUAGUUACACUUGGGAGGAGGAAAGAUUAUGAAUGUGUUUUGGAGAGAAGAAUACACCUGAUUUUGAAUAAGAUUUUAAUCCAUCUUUAAUGCUUGCUUGCAUUUACACUUGACUUGUUUUGCUAAUCAAAAGAUAUCGAAUCCACAAGAUGCAUGAACUGAUACUCAGAAUAAUAACAGUCACAUCCUCUGCAUGUACGUCAGGAAGGAUGAUCUCUUGUUUUUCUUCAUAAAUCAUCAUUGAACCAUUAAAAAUUCAUUUGUAAAUGCUCUGUA